UACGGAGGGUGCAAGCGUUAAUCGGAAUUACUGGGCGUAAAGCGCACGUAGGUGGUUUUCUAAGUCAGCUGUGAAAUCCCCGGGCUCAACCUGGGACUUGCAGUUGAAACUGGGAAGCUAGAGUAGGGUAGAGGGGUGUGGAAUUCCAGGUGUAGCGGUGAAAUGCGUAGAUAUCUGGAGGAACAUCAGUGGCGAAGGCAGCCCCCUGGGCCAAUACGUGACGCUCCAGGCACGAAAGACGGUGGGGAGCAAA
rnacentral:rRNA from 1 species